rnacentral:misc_RNA from 1 species
GGAAAUCAAUUCAGAUCUGGUUAAAGAGGACGAACAUAAAAGGAAACGAAUGAGCGACGGAGAUAGCCCGCAAUUUAAACGACCAAAACAAUAGUGUGAAGAAUGGCAUCAUUACCUGACAGAACAAUGUCCGAACCUAGCAACUCAAGAUGAAGAGGAAGAAGAAAAUUCAGACGGGGAGCAGAAUUUUGAUUAGGGAGAUGAAAGUCAUCAACAAGAUUGGGGAGACGAAACCUUGGACCUGGAUCAUCACUAUUGUGAUGAAAUUCCUGCUGUAAGUGAUGAUGACGACUUGGCAGACCUAGAAAUUUCUUUUGCCUCUACAAUUGACCUUACAAUGGACGAGGAAAUUAAUUUGGAUUUGGUUGAAGAGUUGGAAAAGAGGAAAAGGAUGAGCAAUGAUGGCCCAAUGCAAUGUAAACGCCAAAAACUAAACUAGUUUUACUACCCUCCUACAAGAAAGAACAUUACCCUAAUCCCCUCUCAGAAAUUCCAUUCUUUUUGUGUUUUUUCUUCAAAUUUUUAGUUUAAAGAAACUUCCGGCAGCGGAUCCGAUCCGCACACCCGCAGCGAACCGAUAGUUCCAGCAACAACGCAAUCACAAUCUGGAAAUUUCUUUUGCAUCCACUAUUGACUUAACAAUGGACGAGGAAAUGAAUUUGGAUUUGGUUGAAGAGUUGGAAAAGAGGAAAAGGAUGAGCAAUGAUGGCCCAAUGCAAUGUAAACGCCAAAAACUAAACUAGUUUUACUACCCUCCUACAAGAAAGAACAUUACCCUAAUCCCCUCUCAGAAAUUCCAUUCUUUUUGUGUUUUUUCUUCAAAUUUUUAGUUUAAAGAAACUUCCGGCAGCGGAUCCGAUCCGCACACCCGCAGCGAACCGAUAGUUCCAGCAACAACGCAAUCACAAUCUGGAAAUUUCUUUUGCAUCCACUAUUGACUUAACAAUGGACGAGGAAAUGAAUUUGGAUUUGGUUGAAGAGUUGGAAAAGAGGAAAAGGAUGAGCAAUGAUGCAAUGUAAACGCCAAAAACUAAACUAGUUUU